rfam:Candidatus Rokubacteria bacterium 13_2_20CM_2_64_8 13_2_20cm_2_scaffold_1590, whole genome shotgun sequence.
GCCGGAGUGGAGGAACUGGCAGGCUCGCGGCGCUCAAAACGCCGUGCCCGCAAGGGCGUGUGGGUUCGAGUCCCACCUCCGGCA